CCAAAAAUUCCCUCAAAAUUCCCAAAAAUUCCCAUUAAAAUCCCCUCAAAACUCCCCAAAUUCCCCAAAUUCCUGGAAUUUUCUCAGAAUUUCCCCCGAGGAUUUUCGGGAUUUUCUGCCCAUCCCAAAACCUGGCUGGACCCUCCCACGAUUUUGGGAAAUUCUCAAAUUUUUUUCCCAUUUUUUGGUUUUUUUUUUGUUUUUUUUUGCACUAUAUUUAUAGGGGGAGCCCCAUUCCAGAAUUUUGGAGAUUUUUGGGGAAAAUUCCUGGGAUUUUGGGUGGAAUUUUGGGGAAUUUUUAAGCAAAAUUCUGGGAUUUUGGGGGAAAUUUCCCAGAAUUUUGGGCAGAAUUCCUGGGAUUUUGUGUGGGAUUUUGGGCAGAAUUCUGGGAGAUUUUUUGUGGAAUUUUUUGGAAUAUUUGGGGAGAAUUCUGGGAUUUUUUUGUGGAAUUUUUUGGGGAUUUUUUGUGGAUUUUUUUGUGGAUUUUUUUGUGGAAUUUUUUGUGGAAUUUUGGGCCAAAUUCUGGGAUUUUGGGGGGAAAUUUCUGGGAUUUUGUUUGGAAUUUUGGGGGAUUUUGGGGCAGAAUUCCGGGAUUUUGUGUGGAAUAAAUCCAUGGAUGGACAGCCAGGAGUUGGUUUGGAACUGGGAUGAACUGGGAUGAACUGGGAUGAACUGGGAUGGAACUGGGACCAGUCUGGCCCAGUAUCAAACUGGGAAUGGGAGCAGGAUCUGGGCCCAGUAUCAGCCUUGGAAUGGCCCCAGUUUGGACCAGUACGGUG
rnacentral:lncRNA from 1 species